UCCUUUAUCCAUGCACACACCGGAAGCUAUUCCUUGUUAAGGCAAUGGAGAGGAUGUCCUUCAGCUACUAAAACCAAAAGAAGCUUGUAUACCGUUAUUUACAGGAUCGAAAAGAUAGAACAGAACCUCGACGGAAUAAAAAGUCUUUGUAGUAUUAAGCAAGAUAAAUCAGUAGUGGAAUAGUGUAUACCAACUCCACCUAUGGAUGUAGAGAUUACUUAUCGUAUUGUUGAAUUCAAUUUGGACUCAUCAGAAUACAUCAUCCACAUUGGCAUGCUUGUUCUUAAACACACUAUCACUGCGCUUCAACAGAACAUGCAUUCUGUGUCAUUUAGAUGAACAUACAUGGUCAGCCUAACACCAUAGCAUCCACACAAAAUGCUGGAAGCAUGCCCUUGCAUAUCUCAACAAAUACAUAAGCAACUUCCAGUCUUCCACCACAGAAGUAUUUUCUUUCCUGUAAGUACACAAGAACUAAAGAGAAUACUAAAAUACUAUAUCUUACUACUCGGUUUAAAUUACUUUGUUCCUCUGCUACAAAAUAAACUAUGUACACCUUAAUUUAUGUAUCUAUAAGGAUGGCAGGAUGAACCAUCAGUAAAACUCUAACCUGGCUGUAGUUAAGUUCAGCUUACAACAUUCAGUUGUUGGCGCCGCCUCUCCUCGCAGCGCCGCUUCUUCUUCUUCCGCACUGAACUCUCUCCUUUCUUUGUCUUCUCUCAAGAACACACACACACGCACACGCACACGCACGCGCACGCGCACGUGCACGCACGCACGCACGCACGCGCGCGCGCGCACACACACACACACACACAACACAUGAUGAAAGCCAGGUGUCAUGUUCUCCAAGCAAUCCUCUUAAUUGAGUGACUUCACAUAUACACAGGGUGUCAUGUUCUUCUUCAGGUCAGAGGACGGCAAAAUAAAAUACUGCAGCGAUGUAGAUCAACCCACGUUCAAUCUGUACGACUGACUUUGACAAGAUCCUAGUGUGGCAGAGACCGUCGGUGAGGAAGAGAGUGUGGUGGGUGUGUAUACGAGGUUCACAGAUAGUUUGGGGACGAGGGCUGAAUUAUACACCUUGCGUUCUGUAGAUGUUGCCUUACAGUUGUGUGCUUGUUAAGAAUGGGUUUAGACAUCCAGAACAAGAAUUUCUCUACUUACAAAUGCCAUUAGGCUUAGGCUACAUGUUCCGGCGACUUACAGACUUGCUGCAAAGACAAUACAUGUAUGCAUAGAGCGCCUAAAAAUCUGAUUUGACACAAUUAAGGUUGUGAAUCGUUAAUGCUAAUCAACUGACCCAAUCACUUCAUACCAAGUGCAUGCUCACAGAACUUCAUACAAAUGCCCACAGAACCUACAUACCCUGUAGCAAAAUCUUUGCCACGCCUAAAUAAACAUUAAUACAUGGACAGAACAGAGGUGUAAGACAGAGCAGAAAUCGUACGCCUCAGGUGAGACGGUGACGGACGCUUGAGCUCGCGUUAAGAGAGGCUCGGCAUGGACAGGACCUGGAUUUGUCACCUCGCUGUCCUUCAGGAGCUCUGCGUCGUCCGUGUUGGCAGGGACUCCGACUUGUCGGUGGCUGGAGGAUCUCCGCCGCAUCGGUGCGGGAGGAUGCCUGGGGCACCGAUGCGGGUGGUGCAGGUGGGUUGGACGGCGGGAGCUGAUGGCGGGCUCGCAGCGAGAGCUGGUGCUCAGCUCAGCUGGAUCGCUUGAAGGUUGUGGUCGUGGAAGGGAAGAGGUUCGGCAGCGGGGAUUUCUGGGGCGAGGGGAUUCCAAUCCAUGCGCCGGAGGAGGCGGCGACCGGAGAUUGGGCCGGUGGCGGCGGGCAGAGAAGGGCGCAGUAUUUGUGUGUGUGUGUGUGUAGAACACUAUUUUUCUUGUUAGACACCGGAG
rnacentral:lncRNA from 1 species